rnacentral:lncRNA from 1 species
GGUGGAAGAAAGAAGAACCCACAAAGUCGCAAAAAGCCAGUUAGCACCAGUAGCCUUGAACUUAGAUCCUCCUGCCUCUGCCUCAGUACUGGAGCUAAAGGCUUGUUCCACCUCCACACCCUGUCAGUUUUUGGUAAGAAAAUUGUGUCUAUAAAUAUCAUUUUUGGGUUAAGACGCGGCUUUGAUGAUACUGUAGAGAUGCAACAUUCAAAUAAGGAUAAGAUUUAGAAUUGCCUUUUUAGUCAGUAUUGGAGAAUUUAUAGGAUGGCGAUACACACCUUAAUCAUGAUCAUGGAGGUGAACAGAAUCUGUGUUUGAUCAGCCUGGUUUACAUAGUGAGAUCCUGUCUCAAAAAAAAAUUUAUAUAUAGAGGGGGGAAUCUAAAGACUCUAGGUCCUUCAGUCUUCGUUUGUAUGAAUGUGAAAUACAGUAGCACAAAUGGAUUUUAAUUUCAUUCAGACUUUCUAGUAUUUUAGUGUGGAAUCAGUGUAGCAGUGGUGAGCUUUUCAGAGAAGUCCCACUGGACAAAGUUUCACACUUGCAUCCAGGAAUUCCCUUUUGGUUCCAGAACCAGGAGUACCAAGUACUCAGAUAUCGAAGUUUCUUAUAUAAAAUGAGUAGUCUGUACACAUCUAUAAGUACCCACAAAUAAUUGAUUUAUGUAUUUGACAUUUUGAAACAGGCUAGGCUUGAACUCAAUACCACUCCUUCCUUAGCCUCCCAAGUGUUGUGGUGGCUGGUAUGCAGCGCUAUUGCUAGCCGCAUACACAUACACUCCGAAUCAUCUUUGAGUGUUUUGUAUGUAGAACAGGAUAAAUAGUAUGCAUGGUUGCUGUAUUGUAGUGUUGAGGAAAUGCUGACAAAGGUGCUACCCAACAACCUGACUUCUUCCUUCUAGACACACAUAUUAGAAGAACUCAUGUCUGCAAGUACUCCUCUGACCUCCAUACAUUUCACAAGUACAUGCAAACACACACACGAAAUAAAAACCAAAUCUAGCUUCAUUUACAAAUAACAAUGUUAGGGCCUUUGCUCAGGAGUUUUCAGAUUCCCAAGGUCAUAAGGUAUAUCCCUGUUAGCUUGUCUGCUAGUGUCCUGCUGUACUCCCAACAGUGGAUAGCUUUCAGCCCUAAGUAGAGCUGGGAAGAGCAGCCUGCUCCACACCAUUUGCUCCAAGUGUAUAUGUUGGAACCUAAAUACAGAAACAAAGAUGAGAUAAAAUACUGUAAAAUUGACAGGAAGUAGUGUUUUGAGUUUUAUUUUCUUCAUCUUGCUUGUUUUGUUUUGUUUGCUUUUCGAGAUAGGGUUUCUCUGUAUAGCCCUGGCUGUCCUGGUCUACAGCGUGAGUUCCAGGACUGCACAGAGAAACCCUGUCUUGAAAAGUGGGGGGGGUCACUUUCUCUUAAAGGGUCGCAGAAUUGGCUGUGCAACUGGAGAGGCUGGGGAUAGAGGUGGAAGCACUUGGGAAGCAAGUAACAUCAGGAAGAGAAAACAAAAAGGGUCAGUCCUGGUGACUGAGCGAGAGAGAGCGAAUUUCCUGCAGGAGAAAAGAGAAAGCAACUCUUCCAGCUGACAAAGUGGGAGGACAAUCUGAUGAAACAGCCUAUUUCCAGAGAAAGGGGUAAUGUCGAACCAACUGAGCCACCAGAGUGGAAGGAGAGGUGGACCAGGGUUAUGAGAUUAACACCAUCUACUUUGCCAGUAAUCAUAAAGCAUAUGCCUGCUAAUGGUGUGGAAUGAGGUUAUGAUGAGAUAGGAUGGUCCUAUAGAAAUGGUAGAUCUAAGGCGGGUUUAAAGAGGCCAUGUUUCAUAUGGGAUGCACUUGCCUUAUGUGAAACAAAUUCUAAAUAACUGGGCUACUCAAAAUAGAAUUAUUCCCCAAGACUGGAAGCGAUUGGUAGAAGCUAUACUAAAGACCAGUUCACAGUUACAGUGGUUACAAUGGUGGAGGAAGAAGCCUUGAAUAUUGAACAGUGAAAUAGAGCAAGGGGAGUGCAUAUAGUAAAAGACCAGUGCUAUAUCAAGGCCAGUACUCUGAUAUACAAGAACAGAUUCAAUUUGAUGAUGCUACUAUAGAACAAUGUCGCUUAGUGGCUUUGAGACAAAGUUAAGGAGCCUGGGGAAAAAUCCAACUUAUUUACAAAGAUUAUACAAGGCUCAGAAGAAACCUUCACUGAUUUUCUUUUUAAAGAAUUAUUUACACCUAAGAUACAAUUUGUAAAACACCAGAAAAUCAACAAGAGGGAAGACCAAUGGGUGGAUACUUCAUUCCUCCUUAGAUUGGGAACAAAAUACCCAGGAAAGGAGUUACAGAGACAAAGUUUGGAGCUAAGACGAAAGGAUGGACUAUCCAGAGACUACACCACCUGGAGAUUCAUCCCAUAAUCAGCCACCAAACCCAGACACUAUUGCAUAUGCCAGAAAGAUUUGGCUGAAGGGACCCUGUUAUAGCUGUCUCGUAUGAGGCUAUGCCAGUGCAAAUACAGAAGUGGAUGCUCACAGUCAUCUAUAAGAUGGAACACAGGGCCCCCAAUGGAGAAGCUAGAGAAAACGCCCAAGGAACUGAAGGGGUCUGCAACCUUCUAGGUGGAACAACAAUCUGAACUAACCAGUCCCCCACCGCAACCCACCCCCCGCUCGUGUCUCUAGAUGCAUAUGUAGCAGAAGAUGGCCUAGUGGGCCAUCACUGGGAAGAAAGGCCCCUUGGUAUUGCAAACUUUAUAUGCCCCAAUACAAGGGAAUGCCAGGGCCAAGAAGCAGGAGUGGGUGGGUAGGGGAGCAGGGCGGAGGGAGGGUAUAGGGAACUUUCGGGAUAGCAUUUGAAAUGUAUAUAAAGAAAAUAUCUAAUAAAAAAUAAAU